UGACCUUCAGGUUUGGGAGAGAGCUUCUUAGUUCAUUUGGUGCUCCCACGGAGGAACUUGAGUUGAAUCUUUGAUCCGUUUGUAGAUUUUUAGGUUUUUGGUGGAACUUUGAGUUCAUUGAUAGAGUUUCGCUCUUUGUGUGAUCUUUGAUCACAUUGGUUUGGAAAAUGAUUUUCCCUUUGGUUCCAAUUUCAGUUUGGGGAUAAUUUGUAUUUUGUAUUUUGUAA
rnacentral:lncRNA from 1 species